GGAAUUUUCCGCAAUGGGGGAAACCCUGACGCAGCAACGCCGCGUGACCGAUGAAGCUUCUAGGAGCGUAAAGGUCUGUCGUAAGGGAAGAAAGGACCUGACGGUACCUUACAAGAAAGCACCGGCUAACUUCGUGCCAGCAGCCGCGGUAAUACGAGGGGUGCAAGCGUUGUCCGGAAUCACUGGGCGUAAAGGGUCCGUAGGCGUCUUAAAAAGUCAUUUGUUAAAUACACCGGCUUAACCGGUGACCUGCAUUUGAAACUAUUAAGAUAGAGUAUAGGAGAGGAAAGCGGAAUUCCUGGUGUAGCGGUGACAUGCGUAGAUAUCAGGAGGAACACCAAUGGCGAAGGCAGCUUUCUGGCCUAUUACUGACGCUGAGGGACGAAAGCGUGGGGAGCGAACAGGAUUAGAUACCCCAGUAGUC
rnacentral:rRNA from 1 species